CUCUAUCAUUUUGUUUUUAACUACUAUUUAGCAGCUUCUUUCUAGCAAACAAUGCUUUCUUCCAUAUUAUCCUUCAAACAGAAGCCAUUUCUUUUAUGCAAUCACUUCCCAAAAUAUUUUUAAAGGAUAGUUUUCCUAUGAAGAUGACUCAUUUGUGAAAGGAAGAAAAAAGCUUGCUGUACAGCUGAACUGAGAAACAGGACUUUGCUCACUCUCAUUAAUGGAUCAGCGAACAGUCAAAAACAGAUGUGUCAUUUCUUUUGAAGGGCAGCAGCUUAGCAAAAUUUGAUAAAGUUUUCUGGUGAAUUCUGCUAAAGUUUAAUGAAGUCUUAUUCAACAAAGGAUAUAAAAAUCUAUUAAGUUUCUUGACUCAAAAGGCUGUGAGAAAUACAUAAAUAGAAAUAUGGCUCAAAAGGCUUUCUAUGAUCUGCUGUACCACAGUGCCACUAUGCUUUCUUACCAUCAUUCCAAGGGCAAGAGAAUGAGCCAUUUUUUGCUUAGCAUAGCCCACAUUCAGUGCUAUAAAACAGAGAGGGACACCAUAUUUACAAGGUAUAGUCUCAUUACCACCAAAAGGCUGAAAUGGGAACAGACAUUGGUACGUACUCAAGAGGCAAGAAGUUAUCUCCAGAAAUUCAGCAGCUUCUGCCUCAGUUUCUUUUGAGGUUUAAGGUAAGCAAAGAAUGCACAACUAUAAAGCACACAGUCUUUAAACUGGUGAAAACAUUCUACCUCUAGCUUUUAACUCUUGAAUUCAGUGGUAGCUGAAAGACUGCUGUUAUAUACUACUAUAUUAAGGCAUAAGUUUAAAUGUGCCAGGAUACUGACAUAGUGUCAAACACUCCCCAGGAUGACCCAGUAAGUGGUAAGUUGGCCCAAUAUGAAGCAUUAUAUGGAAAAUACCUUUGCUGAAUGUAUAAACCCCAUCAUUCAAAGCAAUAUCACAGAGGACACAGGUUUUCCUUUAUUUUGGG
rnacentral:lncRNA from 1 species